rnacentral:rRNA from 1 species
GACGAACGCUGGCGGCGUGCUUAACACAUGCAAGUCAAACGCUGAAGCUUGGUGCUUGCACUGGGUGGAUGAGUGGCGAACGGGUGAGUAAUACGUGAGUAACCUGCUCUUGACUCUGGGAUAAGCCUGGGAAACUGGGUCUAAUACUGGAUACGACAUGUCACCGCAUGGUGGUGUGUGGAAAGGGUUUUACUGGUUUUGGAUGGGCUCACGGCCUAUCAGCUUGUUGGUGGGGUAAUGGCUCACCAAGGCGACGACGGGUAGCCGGCCUGAGAGGGUGACCGGCCACACUGGGACUGAGACACGGCCCAGACUCCUACGGGAGGCAGCAGUGGGGAAUAUUGCACAAUGGGCGGAAGCCUGAUGCAGCGACGCCGCGUGAGGGAUGACGGCCUUCGGGUUGUAAACCGCUUUCAGCACGGAAGAAGCGAAAGUGACGGUACGUGCAGAAGAAGCGCCGGCUAACUACGUG